AGACGUAGGGGGCGAGCGUUGUCCGGAAUUACUGGGCGUAAAGGGCGCGUAGGCGGCAAGGUAAGUUAGUUGUGAAAACUCAGAGCUUAACUCUGCGAUUGCAACUAAAACUGCCUAGCUUGAGUGCAUUAGAGGAGAGCGGAAUUCCUAGUGUAGCGGUGAAAUGCGUAGAUAUUAGGAUGAACACCAGUGGCGAAGGCGGCUCUCUGGGAUGUAACUGACGCUGAGGCGCGAAAGCUGGGGUAGCGAACGGGAUUAGAUACCCCGGUAGUCCCAGCCGUAAACGAUGGUCACUAGGUGUAGGAGGUAUCGACCCCUUCUGUGCCGCAGCAAACGCAAUAAGUGACCCGCCUGGGGAGUACGGUCGCAAGGCUAAA
rnacentral:rRNA from 1 species